CGCCGGCGUGGAUCGGAGCAUCUGGUUCUACGAGCCUCCGGGGCUCGUCGAUCGGGAGCGUCCGGUGCUGAUCGUGUUCGACGGCCGGGUGGCGGC
rnacentral:tRNA from 1 species